rnacentral:lncRNA from 1 species
CAGGCAGGCGCCCGCUGAGCCAGCGCUUCCCAGGCCCAGGACCUCACAAGACUCACUCCUACCCAAAGAUGGGCCCCUGCAGUUGGCUCUGAUCAGCAUCCGUUGAUUGACUGAAGACUGAAGGUCCCAUCAAGAGGCAGGUGGAGAGGAGAGAGUCCUGGAGGCUGCUGGUCCACUAUCCCCACCCCAGGCUGUUGGUGAGUUGUCAGAAGAGAAAGCAGAUCCUUGAUGGAGGAACUGACCUUCCGCCGAGGCCUCAGGAAUUCCUACAGGUAACGUUCCAAAGAGAUUAGCUGUUUCCCAGUCAAA